rnacentral:lncRNA from 10 species
GACUCCGUCUAGCCCCGCUCCGCGAGAAGAGGCUGAACUGCCCCAUCUGCUUCUAAUUUCUUUCUUUCUUUCUUUCUUUCUUUUUUUCCCCUCUUUUCCUUUUCUUCUUUUAAAUAUACGUUUGGAAAUUUGCCGGGCGUGGUGGCGGGCGCCUGUAAUCCCAGCUACUCGGGAGGCUGAGGCAGGAGAAUCGCUUGAAUCCGGGAGACGGAGGUUGCAGUGAGCCGAGAACGCGCCACUACACUCCAGCCUGGACGACGAGAGUGAUACUCCGUCUCAGUCAAUCAAUCAAUCAAUCAAUCGUUUGAUUUUCGUUUUAUGCUUUUACUUCCAAAUUUAUAUUUAUUGCAAAAAAUGUGGAAUAUAACAAAGUGUAAAGGUGAAACUGAAAUAACCCGAAAUUAUAUUUCCCCCUCUGUGGUUUUUUUUUUUCCGUCUCUGUGUUUUUCAAUGUUUUUCAGGCCUUCUGUCUUGAGCUCGUAUUACUGCUGUUCACUGAUGUAUUGUAAAAGCGUAAAACCGGACGUGACCCAAAUGUCUAUCAAAGGAGACUGAUGAGAGAAAUAAACGGAUUUGUUCACACAACGGCUUCUACAGCAAAGAAACAGAAGGUAGCUCCAAGUGCUCUGAAAUGGAAAGGUAUGCAGGAUUUCCUGUUAGGUUAAAACAGAACGAAGCAAAAACCGAGGUUGCGCAAUGAUACAUAUAGAACAGUCUCAUAGUUGUAUACAUAGUUACACAGAGGAAACAAAGAUCUGGAAAGAUGUGUAGUUUGCACCUGUUACCAUUGGUUAGCUCUGGGGUGGACGGAGAAGGGAGAAGUUUUAAGAUUCUUUAUAUAAUACACUUAUUUAAUAUCUAUCUAUGUGCUAAGUUGUAUUACAUUUGUUGUUUUUUAAAGAGAUCCUUUUAAACAGAGAAGGGAGAACUCCCUCAAAUCCCAAUUGCACUACAAAGAGAAACCAACAUGUUGGUUAUUUUUAUAGCAUAUAAGUUUAUAUACCGUAUUAAUAAUGUAUAGCUAUAUAGCCUGCUUUUUCCACUUAGCACAUUUCAUAAUUUUUGUAAUAUUAAAUAUUCCUUAAAUAUAAUUGUUAAUGGUUGCAGACUAUUCAUGUAUGCUAUAAUUUAUUAAUCCUUAUUGAGAACAUUUAGGGUUUUCUUCCCAAUUUUUCACAUAUUUCAAGAUGAGAUAAAACUCUUAAAUAAUUAUAUUCCUGAUUAAUUAAAUUCCUAGAAAAAUUCGUGAGUUGAAGACUAUGAACAAAUAAAUUUAAGGCUUUUUUUUUUUUAAGAGAGGGAGUAUUGCUGUGUUGCCCAGGUUGGUCUCAAACUCCUGGGCUCACAUGAUCCUCCUGCUUCAGCCUCUGGGGUAGCUGGGACUACAGGCCACUGCACCAGACUUUAACACUCUUGGGCCAGGCACGGUGGCUCAUGCCUGUAAUCCCAGCACUUUGGGAGGCUGAGGUGGGCGGAUCACCUGAGGUCAGGAGUUUGAAACCAGCCUGACCAACAUGGGGAAACCCCGUCUCUACUAAAAGUACAAAAUUAGCCGGACGUGGUGGCACAUGCCUGUAAUCCCAGCUACUCGGGAGGCUGAGGCAGGAGAAUCGCUUGAACCCGGGAGGCAGAGGUUGCGGUGAGCCGAGAUCGCGCCAUUGCACUCCAGCCUGGGCAAUAAGAGCAAAACUCCAUCUCAAAACAAAACAAAACAAAACAAAAAACCCAAAAAACAAAAGACUCUUAAUGCUAAUUGUAAAACUUUUUUUUUUUUUUUGAGAUGGAGUCUCCCUCUGUCGCCCAGGCUGGAGUGCAGUGGGGCUAUCUCGGCUCACCACAACCUCCACCUCCCAGGUUCAAGUGAUUCUCCUGCCUCAGCCUCUCGAGUAGCUGGGACUACAGGCACGUGCCACUACGCCCGGCUAAUUUUUUGUAUUUUUAGUAGUGACAGGGUUUCACCGUGUUAGCCAGGAUGGUCUUCAUCUCCUGACCUCGUGAUCUGCCUGCCUCGGCCUCCCAAAGUGCUGGAAUUACAGGCGUGAGCCACCACGCCUGGCCGAAACUCUUGAAAGUUUGUUUCUGUGAACAUUAUUGAUGCCUAAGAUGGGCCUGUGCUAUCCUUGUGGGGGUGUCGGUGUGUGUGAGAACAGAGCUGAGUAAUGGCCAAAAUCUGGCUGCCAGGAUCAGACAGGUGACAAGAGAGGCAAAUAUAAAUAGCUCAGAUAAGCAAAGACAUCCAAAAAUACUCUGACCCAGACACUUCCGGGCACAAAACUCUUUCUGUCUUGCAUUGUCCUGGUUGUACUUGGACAUGCGAUGGGUCAGAAUUUGGUUUACUUAAUAUAUAUUAUUCAGUCUUCUGGGUUUGAAGAAUUUACUAAGAUUUUAAAAUCUCCAAUUUAUGAUUUCCCUUGGAAAACAGGAAGUUCUGGUAACACUGAGACUGCAUUCGAGGGUCCCACAAACCAGACUUGGUUUCUCACUUCCCGUAACAGUAACGAAUGGAAGACUUGAUGAUUUACAUUACCUGCCUGGCCCCUGUAGCAACUUGAGUUCAAAACUGUUGGACAGGGUCAUGAUUCCUUAACAUGGUAUUCAAAGCUUCAUGAUUGGCUGGGUGCGGUGGCUCACAGUUGUAAUCCCACCACUUUGGGAGGCCGAGAUGGGUGGACCACUUGAGGUCCAGGUUCGAGACCAGCCUGGCCAACAUGGUGAAACCCCGUCUCUACUAAAAAUACAAAAAAAUUAGCUGGGGUGGUGGCAGAUGCCUGUAGUCCCAGCUAUUCUGGAGGCUGAGGCAGGAGAAUUGCUUGAAUCUGGGAGGCGGAGGUGGAAGUGAGCUGAGAUUGUGCCACUGCACUCCAGCCUGGGUGACAGGGUGAGACUCUGUCUCAAAAAAAAAAAAGGAAAAAAAAAAAAGCUCCUUGAUAGUCUUGUGCUUUCCCCCUUUCAUCUUUGUUUCCUUCCACUCUUGCUCACCCUUGCUCACACACACACUUCCUCAAGGUAAAAGUGUAAGGCAGGCAGAAUGAGACUUAACAACUAGCAUUUCUUAUGUCAUUAUCCAGCCUUUUCUAACUAACACAUUUGCUUGUUCACUCAUUAACUUGAGGCAUUUAUUUUUCUUGAUAAGACCAGGCCAAAGUCAGCCAAUUGGAUCAAACCAAAUGGAAUGGAGUGUCCAGAAGUAGAAAUUUUGCUGCUACAGGGUGUGUGCAACUUCACAUACAGCUCUUGCCCCUUAUUUCCUGUGUCUUUCCUGCUUGCUCACUCUGCUCCAGCUAUACUGGUCACUUUGUUGUUCUUUUAUUUCUUAUUUUAGACAGGUUCUUGCUUUGUUGCCCAGGCUGGUGUGCAGUUGUGCAAUCAUAGUUCACUGUAACCUCAAACUUCUGGGCUCAGGUGAUACUCCUGCCUCAGCCUCUGGAGUAACUGGGACUACAUCUGAAUGCCAUCAAAUCCAGCUACUUAAAAAAAUUUUUUUUUUUUAGGCCAGGCACGGUGGCUUACGCCUGUAAUCCCAGCACUUUGGGAGGCCGAGGCGGGUGGAUCACUUGAGGUCGGGAGUUCAAGAACAGCCUGACCAACAUGAAGAAACCCCAUCUUCACUAAAAAUACAAAAUUAGCUGGGCGUGUUGGUGUAAUUCCAGCUACUUGGGAGGCUGAGGCAGGAUAAUCACUUGAACCUGGAAGGUGAGGUUGCGGUGAGCCGAGAUUGUGCCAUUGCACUCCCGCUUAGGCAACAAGACUGAAACUCCUCUCAAAAAAAAAAAGAAGAAAAAUUUAAAGAUUUUGAGCUGGGCGUGGUGGCUCACACCUGUCAUCCCAACACCUUGGGAGACUGAGGCAGGUGUUUCCGUUGAGCUCAGGAUUAGGUUUUGGCUUAAGGGAAUAUUGUGGAUGAUUUGAUCUUUUAUCAAAGUUUGAGAUCACACAAACUUUCUUCCUGUCAGCAAUAAGGCUGUUUUGGUUUCUUAUCAUUCGUGUAGCAUUAAAAAUGCUACUCCAAUAAAGGCUGGAGUGCAGCGGCAUGAUGACUGAACUCCUGAGCUCAAGGGAUCCUCCCGCCUCAGUCUCCCGAAGUACUGGCAUUACAGGCGUGAGCCACUGCACCUGGCCAGCUUCAGACUUUUCUUGUGCAGCCUCCUCACCUCUCUUAGCCUUCUUAGAAUUGAAGAGAUUUAGGGCUUUUCUCCAUAUUCGGUUUUGCCUUAAGGGAAUGUUGUGGCUUGCUUGAUCAUCUAUCCAGAUAACUCAAACUUUCUCCAUAUCAGCAAUAAGGUUGUUUUGCUUUCCUAUCAUUUGUAUGUUCACUGGAGUAGCAUUUUUAAUGUCCUUCAAGAACUUUUUCUUUGUAUUCACAACUUGACUGGUGCAAGAGGCCUAGCUUUUGGCCUAUUUCUGCUUUCUUUUUUUUUUUUUUUUUUUUUUUUUUGAGACGGAGUCUCGCUCUGUUGCCCAGGCUGGAGUGCAGUGACACAAUCUUGGCUCACUGCAACCUCCACCUCCCGGGUUCAAGCGAUUCUCCUGCCUCAGCCUCCCGAGUAGCUGGGACUACAGGCGCGUGCCACCAUGCGUGGCUAAUUUUUGUAUUUUUAAUAGAGACGGGGUUUCACCAUGUUAGCCAGGAUGGUCUCGAUCUCUUGACCUCGUGAUCCGUCCGCCUCAGCCUCCCUAAGUGCUGGGAUUACAGGCGUGAGCCACCACGCCCAGCUGCGGAAGAGAUUUUAAAGCUCUCCACAUAUUUCAGUGUGCCACCUGUGCUAAGAACUACAACUUUAUUAUUUUAUUUUAUUUUACUUGUUUUUGAGUUGGAGUCUGGCUCUGUCGCCCAAGCUGGAAUGCAGUGGUGCAAUCUCGGCUCACUGCAACCUCCGCCUCCUGGGUUCAAGUGAUUCUCUUGCCUCAGUCUCCCAAGUAGCUGGACAGGUGUGCGCCACCAUGCCUGACUAAUUUUUGUAUUUUUAGUAGAGACGGGGUUUCACCACAUUGGCUAGGUUGGUCUCAAACUCCUGACCUCAGGUGAUCCGCCUGCCUCGGUCUCCCAAAGUGCUGGUAUUACACAUGUGAGGCAUUGCGCCCGGCCUGAGAACUACAACUUUAGACUUACUGUUGUGAAAAUCUCAAACUAGCCUCUAUUGCAAACAUGUGUUUGCAUCAUAUAGGCAUGCAUAGACAUGCUGACGGGGUUUAUGUUACAGCCAAAAAGCUAAUGCCAACACCAACCGCUGGCACUUCUAUAUUUACUUCCAGGAGCCCUUGCCUUUACCACCCAUACCCCGCUACCCAUGUACCUCCCACUCCCCCAGAUUGAGGAGGGAGCUAGCUAAUAGGCAACUGAAGCACUGGAUUGGAACUGCAACUCAAGGUUGUGGGAGCAAGAGUUCUGAAGUGAAGACCUUGAUCAGCACAAACCUGAUCAUGUGACCUUGUGAAAGUUACUUCACAAUUCCCUGCUUCGGUUACUAUGGUUAUAAAAUUAAACUAAUGGAAUGGAUCUAUUUGCUAAAAAUAUGAGAUUUAAUGAGCAAAUAAUUUUAAAGUGCUCCAUUAAUUCUGCGAUUGUUAAAUAACUUCACUGCAUAAAAUUCUAUAGAACUCUUUCAAAUAUAUAAAAAAAAGCACCCCAAUGAUUCUUUUUUUUUUUGGAAACAGGGUCUCACUCUGUUGCCUAGGCUGGAGUACAGUGCCAUGAUCACAGCUCACUUCAACCUCAGCCUCCCAGGUAGCUGGGACUGCAGGCCUGUACCGCCAUUAUUAUUAUUAUUAUUAUUAUUU